CUGGGGCCGAAACCCGGGAAGGAGAAGGGAUGCGCCGUAGUAGAGUCCUCACCACUACCAUCCACCCCAAUGGAGCAGCCACAGUCAUCCGCCAGGGGACGGAGGAGCCGGCCGCCUGAGAGUGGAGGAAUGGCCGCCAACCGCGAGGGGAGGAGGGACUCCUAGCUGACCGCCUGGAGCAGUUAGGGCCGCUGCCAGGGGCGGAGCAGACCACUACCAGCCGCUGAAACGCGGCGGGGCGUUCCAUCUGCCAGGGGCCGGAGGACUGCCUCUGAUCUGCCUGGGGAGGCGUGGCUGUCAUUCACUAGAGGGUGGAGGAGUGGCCGAGGACCAGGCUCCGGCAUAUCGAAGAAGACGGGGAUGACCUGCAAGCAGACGGGACCGGAAGGGCCCAGGCCCACCCCGGCCCACCCUUGGCUACACCACUGUUAGGAAGGCAGCUCACAAGACAUCUCCAAGUUGUUAGUACAGAGUACAACAUCUCUACAGACUGUUUGUCAUGUUGCUGUGGCUGUGUGGGAUCCGUCGUCUGGUUAAAUGUGUCUCUGGCUGGUUGAGAUCUGUCGUCUGUGCUCCACGGAGAUCAGUGUUGCCACGUUACUCUAUAAAAAAUCCCCAGUAGCGGGUUCUUAUGGGCCUUGAGGUCAAACCCCUGCGGGCUCUGUAUGUUUAUGAGGGAGGAACCUGUUUAAGGAAGACGCAGCCCUGUCUGUUUGCUCGGCACUGUUGUAGACUAUACGAAGGCCCAACCACAGAAACUCAAAGGAGGAAUUGAGGCAAGUAUGUGGUUCAAUAUUGACCUCAACUGAAGCUUGACCAGGUGAGAUGUGUAUGGGUUUAAAACAGUGUAGUAUGUAAGUAAUUUAUUUGUUAGAUUGAAGUUAAAUUUAUAGCCAUUUUGCUCUUACUUUUUCUUUAUAUUUUCUUUGUUUAUGUUUCUUAUAAAUAGGGCUGUAAAUGGAAAUAUUUUUUGGACAUUUAAAAAAAGAUGAUGUUGGGUGCAUUGAACUGUCAUGAACUGUAUAAAUGGCGAAAUAAAUAAAUGAAAAUUAAAUAAUACAGUAUAAUGUAUAAA